rnacentral:misc_RNA from 1 species
CGUAGGUGAACCUGCGGAAGGAUCAUUAUUGUAUAACCGAGGCGCGAGGGCUGUCGCUGACCCGAAAGGUCGUGCACGCCCGAGUGCCCUCACACACAUCCAUCUCACCCCUAUGUGCACCACCGCGUGAGUCCCCCUUUGGCUUGUUCGGAGGGGGGCUUACGUUUUCACACAAACUUUGUAUGCAGUGUAGAAUGUAUUUUUUGUUUUUGCGAUCACGCAAUCAAUACAACUUUCAACAACGGAUCUCUUGGCUCUC